AUACUUACCUGACGCGAGAGGCACCUUGAUCACUAGGAGGUCCUCUCAGGAUGAGGCCCUUUCAUUGCACUUCGACUGGGUUGACUCCUGCGAUUACCCCUAAUGUGGGUAACUCGAGCGUAUAAUUUCUGGUAGUGGGGACCUGCGUUCGCGCUCGUCCCUU
rnacentral:snRNA from 1 species